GAAGAUAAUGACUGUAGCAGGUAAAGAAACCCCGGCUAACUCCGUGCCAGCAGCCGCGGUAAUACGGAGGGGGUUAGCGUUGUUCGGAAUUACUGGGCGUAAAGCGCGCGUAGGCGGACAUUUAAGUCAGAGGUGAAAUCCCAGGGCUCAACCCUGGAACUGCCUUUGAUACUGGGUGUCUUGAGUUCGAGAGAGGUGAGUGGAAUUCCGAGUGUAGAGGUGAAAUUCGUAGAUAUUCGGAGGAACACCAGUGGCGAAGGCGGCUCACUGGCUCGAUACUGACGCUGAGGUGCGAAAGUGUGGGGAGCAAACAGGAUUAGAUACCCUGGUAGUCCACACCGUAAACGAUGAAUGCCAGUCGUCGGGUAGUAUACUAUUCGGUGACACACCUAACGGAUUAAGCAUUCCGCCUGGGGAGUACGGUCGCAAGAUUAAAACUC
rnacentral:rRNA from 1 species